rnacentral:lncRNA from 1 species
UCACCAUAUGACUUCUGCUCACGAAGCCUUGCCACUCCAGAUUCGUCUCUGCCAGUUGCCAUUACAGGAUACCAAGAGCCAGGGGCUUCCACAGGAAAGCUCCAUCCUUCACCAUCCUAUAACCUGCCCAUGGAACAGCUACCAACCUUCCCAUUAUAAGGAAGCCCACAUUGACAGUGGCUGGGCCACUAUUAGCAUCAGCUGCCACUGAUCCCACUGCUACCUGUGAGUACAUGAACAGACCUCCUAAUAACUGUAGUGUGCAGACCACCAGAUAUCCAGCGAGGCUCUGAGUACAG